rnacentral:rRNA from 2 species
CGAACGCUGGCGGCGUGCCUAAUACAUGCAAGUCGAACGAACUCUGGUAUUGAUUGGUGCUUGCAUCAUGAUUUACAUUUGAGUGAGUGGCGAACUGGUGAGUAACACGUGGGAAACCUGCCCAGAAGCGGGGGAUAACACCUGGAAACAGAUGCUAAUACCGCAUAACAACUUGGACCGCAUGGUCCGAGCUUGAAAGAUGGCUUCGGCUAUCACUUUUGGAUGGUCCCGCGGCGUAUUAGCUAGAUGGUGGGGUAACGGCUCACCAUGGCAAUGAUACGUAGCCGACCUGAGAGGGUAAUCGGCCACAUUGGGACUGAGACACGGCCCAAACUCCUACGGGAGGCAGCAGUAGGGAAUCUUCCACAAUGGACGAAAGUCUGAUGGAGCAACGCCGCGUGAGUGAAGAAGGGUUUCGGCUCGUAAAACUCUGUUGUUAAAGAAGAACAUAUCUGAGAGUAACUGUUCAGGUAUUGACGGUAUUUAACCAGAAAGCCACGGCUAACUACGUGCCAGCAGCCGCGGUAAUACGUAGGUGGCAAGCGUUGUCCGGAUUUAUUGGGCGUAAAGCGAGCGCAGGCGGUUUUUUAAGUCUGAUGUGAAAGCCUUCGGCUCAACCGAAGAAGUGCAUCGGAAACUGGGAAACUUGAGUGCAGAAGAGGACAGUGGAACUCCAUGUGUAGCGGUGAAAUGCGUAGAUAUAUGGAAGAACACCAGUGGCGAAGGCGGCUGUCUGGUCUGUAACUGACGCUGAGGCUCGAAAGUAUGGGUAGCAAACAGGAUUAGAUACCCUGGUAGUCCAUACCGUAAACGAUGAAUGCUAAGUGUUGGAGGGUUUCCGCCCUUCAGUGCUGCAGCUAACGCAUUAAGCAUUCCGCCUGGGGAGUACGGCCGCAAGGCUGAAACUCAAAGGAAUUGACGGGGGCCCGCACAAGCGGUGGAGCAUGUGGUUUAAUUCGAAGCUACGCGAAGAACCUUACCAGGUCUUGACAUACUAUGCAAAUCUAAGAGAUUAGACGUUCCCUUCGGGGACAUGGAUACAGGUGGUGCAUGGUUGUCGUCAGCUCGUGUCGUGAGAUGUUGGGUUAAGUCCCGCAACGAGCGCAACCCUUAUUAUCAGUUGCCAGCAUUAAGUUGGGCACUCUGGUGAGACUGCCGGUGACAAACCGGAGGAAGGUGGGGAUGACGUCAAAUCAUCAUGCCCCUUAUGACCUGGGCUACACACGUGCUACAAUGGAUGGUACAACGAGUUGCGAACUCGCGAGAGUAAGCUAAUCUCUUAAAGCCAUUCUCAGUUCGGAUUGUAGGCUGCAACUCGCCUACAUGAAGUCGGAAUCGCUAGUAAUCGCGGAUCAGCAUGCCGCGGUGAAUACGUUCCCGGGCCUUGUACACACCGCCCGUCACACCAUGAGAGUUUGUAACACCCAAAGUCGGUGGGGUAACCUUUUAGGAACCAGCCGCCUAAGGUGGGACAGAUGAUUAGGGUGAA